rnacentral:tRNA from 1 species
CAAGGUCCCUCUAUCCCCA